CUUUCCAUUAUUUUUCCUAACAUAUACAAGCCUUAACUUUUCAUGAUCAUUUAAUUCAUUCUCGUUCUAUCUUGUUAGGAUUGAAAAAUAUUAAGAUAUACGUAGUGUAAUAUUUUCCUCGUGCCUAUGGGUCUCUGGAUUUGCUAUUUUCUAUUGAACACCACAAUCUGCUGGAGAGUGGAUUCUUUUAAAGUUUAAACUGGCUUUGGUGAUGAAAAAAAGACAGCAUAAUGUUGGAAUCUUCAGUCAAUAAUUAAGUUUAUGCAAAAAAAUGAUUUUGUGAACUAUAGAUAUUAUUUCCAUUAUGAUAAUUCUUAUGGUUUACAUUUUUCACGCAAUAAAUUAAGCCAGUAUAAUUUGAAUGGAUUUGCUAGCUACCUUAGAUGUGAGAGAGUGAAUAAGCUGGACCAAGAAGUAGUUACGAUGAGGUCGUAUGAAAGGAAGGAUUUAUUUGUACAUCAGGAAUUUUACUUUGGAUAAAGCAGAAUGCUUAAUUCAACUCAAACUUCAAUCUUUAACUAGAUGGGGCCAGUGCAUGCACAUUAUUUUUCCUUCCACUCCACUCAAUAUAAGGCUACAUCUCUAGAAACAUACAGGACCACUAUUUUGGUUUUCACUGCUCUCCGACUCAUCUUAAGCCUGCCCUUUCCUUUGUUAUCUUCUACACUUAAUGUGCUUAGCCUUUUCUGUUGGAGCUCUUACUGUUUUAUGAUGCACAUGCUCAAACCAUCUCAUUCCCAACUUUUUCUACUUCUGCCUUCCUUUGAAUGUAUUCAUUCUUAUCUGAUCCAUUCUUAUAUUCCUACAUAUCUAUCGUAGGAUCCUCAUUUCUGCCAUAAUAAUUUUGUUUCAAUGUUUCUUCACCACCCAAAAUGCUAUCACACAUCUGUUUUAGUCAGAUUGCAUCCUAUGUAAUUACUUCAAAUUAGAAUGAGGAUAGAUAUGGAUUACACAUUAGAGGUUACAAGUGAAGGAAGCUAACUACGCACACUUAUGUUCUGUUUAAAUUGCAACCCUAUAAAACUUCCACUUUCACUUCCACUUAGAAUGAGGAGAGAGAAAAUUCAUAUGGGUUACUCUUACACUUUAGAGGUUACAGCUGAACAAAGCUAAGCAUGGGAGCAUCUACCACACAUCUUUUCUAGUUUGAUUGCAGUCCUAUAAAACUCUCCCUUCAACUUAGAAUAAAGAGGGAGAAAAUUCAUAUGGGUUCAACAUUAGAGGUUACGGCUGAAGGGAGGUAAGAAUUGUAGCAUUUUGGUCCAAAUUUUUUUACAGAAAUAACAAAUAUGGAGGUGGGUUAAGUUCAUUCAUGGUCUCUCUUAAAUUCACAAUGUAACUGAAAUCAAUUCAUUGUGAUGAAAUCACCAAAUUAAUAUUUUGCUUCAAUAAGGUUAGUAGGGACAAUUUUGUAAUUAGUUGCACACAAAAAUAUAAUGCUGUAUAAUGCUAUUUUCUUCCAACUAAGAGAUGCAAAAGCAUGCCUACAAAUAAAAUUACUACUCUCCUUUCUUUUUCAUGUGGGGCCGUUAGCUAGAAUUUUAGUGGGUUGCCACUUCAAAUUUCUGGUGGCUAUUAAGUAAAACCUUGUUUCAUGUGAUUUCUAUUGACUACCAUAAAGUAAAACUUACUUCGACUGUGGUUGACAUAUGAGAAUUAAUGACUACCUUCUUUCAUUUUAUCACAUGCCUACAGAUUUAUUUUAUAAUUGUUUAACGUCUGAACUUGAAGCGUUGAUUGGUUUAUUAUUCGAUGAAGGGAUGUUGAAUUUUCUCCCAUGAGCUGCUGAGUUUCUGUAUUUUUAGAUGAAAUCAUGUUUAACAGUUUCAUUCUAUACUUUUUUGGACAUCAUAUAUGUGAUGGUUUUUUCUUGUCUAGCUGUCCUUCAUUUUUCUUGUCUAGCUUUUCUACUUAUCCACUUCAGAAUUCACAUACGUAACAACUUCCCAAC